rnacentral:rRNA from 1 species
UGCAGUCGAGCGGUAACACAGAGAGCUUGCUCUCGGGUGACGAGCGGCGGACGGGUGAGUAAUGUCUGGGAAACUGCCUGAUGGAGGGGGAUAACUACUGGAAACGGUAGCUAAUACCGCAUAACGUCGCAAGACCAAAGUGGGGGACCUUCGGGCCUCAUGCCAUCAGAUGUGCCCAGAUGGGAUUAGCUAGUAGGUGGGGUAAUGGCUCACCUAGGCGACGAUCCCUAGCUGGUCUGAGAGGAUGACCAGCCACACUGGAACUGAGACACGGUCCAGACUCCUACGGGAGGCAGCAGUGGGGAAUAUUGCACAAUGGGCGCAAGCCUGAUGCAGCCAUGCCGCGUGUAUGAAGAAGGCCUUCGGGUUGUAAAGUACUUUCAGCGAGGAGGAAGGCNUUAAGGUUAAUAACCUUGGUGAUUGACGUUACUCGCAGAAGAAGCACCGGCUAACUCCGUGCCAGCAGCCGCGGUAAUACGGAGGGUGCAAGCGUUAAUCGGAAUUACUGGGCGUAAAGCGCACGCAGGCGGUCUGUCAAGUCGGAUGUGAAAUCCCCGGGCUCAACCUGGGAACUGCAUUCGAAACUGGCAGGCUAGAGUCUUGUAGAGGGGGGUAGAAUUCCAGGUGUAGCGGUGAAAUGCGUAGAGAUCUGGAGGAAUACCGGUGGCGAAGGCGGCCCCCUGGACAAAGACUGACGCUCAGGUGCGAAAGCGUGGGGAGCAAACAGGAUUAGAUACCCUGGUAGUCCACGCCGUAAACGAUGUCGACUUGGAGGUUGUGCCCUUGAGGCGUGGCUUCCGGAGCUAACGCGUUAAGUCGACCGCCUGGGGAGUACGGCCGCAAGGUUAAAACUCAAAUGAAUUGACGGGGGCCCGCACAAGCGGUGGAGCAUGUGGUUUAAUUCGAUGCAACGCGAAGAACCUUACCUACUCUUGACAUCCAGAGAACUUAGCANAGAUGCUUUGGUGCCUUCGGGAACUCUGAAACAGGUGCUGCAUGGCUGNCGUCAGCUC